CUCUUGCAGCUCCAAGCCUGAGCAAGGGCUCUGGCGGGUGAGUCCGCCACCCCGUCCUCUCCUCCUGUCUGGGCAAGUGUGCAGCUGGCUGUGCUGAGGGGUAGUGGCUGUGCAGAGCCAAGCCCGUGUGCAAAGCUGCACGCACAGCCUACUGGUCUUGUCUGAGUCACACUCUGCGUCACGAGCUGGUGCUCUGGACCCAUCAAGUAAGGGAGCCCUCCCUGGUUCAGCGGGAGCCAGAGCUCUAUGUGCGGUGUUGGAUGACUGCCCCCCAGUGUCCUUGUGUGGGAGAUGAGUGCAAAGGGUGACAAGGAUUCUUAGGCUGCCAUUGCCCAGAGAAGGGCUCUGCUGGGAGAGGAAACUGGAGAGGAGCCUUGGAGAAGGAUGUGAGUGAAGUCAAGUCAGAGGACUGGCCCUGCGGGAGCAAAAUGCCCCAUUACCUGAUGGGAAGUUCUGCCAGGUGUCAAUAGCUGUGGCUUCCUCCGUGGGACAAACGCUGUUGCAUGUGUAGCGUGCGUCGUAGGGCUGGCCUGGGUCCCACUGAGGGGCCCUCUCGUAUGCUCUGCACCUCAUCGUGGUGGGGGAUCCUACCUUGCAGGGAGCUCUCCUUGCAGGGCAAGUGGCUACCUUUGCUGACCCUGGGGCCCCCUGCUGGUCCAUGGAGCACCUGUGUGUGUGAAUGGUAAAAAGGUCCCUUCCCAGAGGACUUCCCUGGGAGAGGAUGCAAAUUGCUGUGCACACACACACAUUGCCCCCAAAGUCCCCUCAGGUCCCCAUUCCCUUGUCCAUUUUAUACUGUACUCGUGGACUUGCUUGGGCUUCUUUGCAACAUGAUGGCCUCAAGGAAAUCAGCUAGUACCAGCUGAGCCAGGCAGAUGUCACGGGCCCUUGUGACUAGCCUCAGAAGUCCCACCUGAGCCACUAGCCAGGUGCAAGGUAAGGGAGCAUAGAGUCCACCUCUUGAAUAUAUCAAGAAAUAUCAAAGUCACAUUGUCAUAGAAUACGAGGGAUAGGAGAGGCCAUGGGGCUCCAUUGCAAGAUUCCAUUUGUCAUGGGGGGAAAUUGCAGGCAGCUCCUACCCAAGAAAUGGGUGGGAUGGGGAGUCCCCAAGGAGUUUGACAAAGUGAGCACAGACCGAUCAAUAGACUUCCAGAAUUCCCACCACUGUCCCUGUUGGCUCAGAAGGGUCUCUGCCACCUCUAGGUGCCACCGCCACCACCUUUGGUCUUGCUUAGCAACCAGCUUGCACAUCUUCGGGACCCCCCCCCCCAGGAGCUAAUUGUCGCUCCUUGCUCCAAACACUUAAUCCACCCCACUGAAUUUUUAAAACCUUUCU
rnacentral:lncRNA from 1 species